AAAAAAUUGAUAUUAAAUCUGUGAACAAUACAAGAAAAUAUUUAUUAUGACGAAGUAGUAUGUCCCAAUUGUAUGCAUACAGUAUGUACUUAGUGAGGGCCGCUGCAGUACGUGCCGUACUAAAAGUACAAAGGAAAAGUAUGCCAUUUGGAACGUAGUCUGUGUGUGUGGUUUGCUAAACACUCCCACUGAAAUACCACACUGCAAUUAUCAAUCACCGAAUGCACCUGUGAACACGCUUGUAACCAAUUAGAUCACUUAUAAUUAAGAGAUUGAACACUAUGAAUAAGAUUCAGGAUUACUCUUUUGUGUGCAAAACAAUUAUGGCCAAUUAUGGAGAGUUAGAGUAAGUAAUUACAAUUUUUUUACAGUAUAAUACAGUAACUAUGCACAUGUGAUCAUCAGUUAAAGUAAUUGUCUGAUACUGUUAUGAGUAUUGAGGAUAAACAGAUUGCAUUUGUGUUCAUAGUCUUUAUUUACAGCAUCCUGCAAAUGAAACAGCCAAAGACUGGAGAUAAUAGUGUUUCAAACUUAACACAUCAGUGUGCAUUUGGCAUGUGGAGAGAGCUAUUUAUUUGGUGUUUGUGUCUAAAGUUGUGGUCCAAAAAUACCAUUUGCUGUUGCAAGAGAUGUAAGAUAUUUUGUAUUUGUGUAUAUGUACACAAAUAGUUUCAGAAAUUGUGUUUUAGCAAUUGCAAAAAAAAAACUGUAAAAGAUUGAUAAAACAUUGUAAUGAGGACAAACAAAAGAGACGCUGCUCUUUUUUCUUGCACACCAUGUCAGUAUUACUCUCAAAUAUCAGUUUAUUAUCUAGUAUAGUUCCUGUAGGUCUCCAAUAUAUCUAUAUUCUGGCCAUCAAUCACUGUACUGUCAGUCAUGUGGACUGUGAUAUUCAUAGAUAACCUCGUCUAUAUUCAGUCUCCUACGUGACAACUCAGUGAACCGGUCUGCUCAGAGGAACCAGCACUGACACCAACCACCAUGUUGAGGAUAGGAUCGUGUCUUAACAGAGACCGUGUUUCCAGAAGGGCUGGAUCAUCCACACAACAUCUGAUAAGCCAUUCUCCUGCGCUGUGCUCGGCAGGAGUCUCAGGUUCUGCAGUAAGGGAGUGUCUAAUCAUCAGCUCUCUGGAUCUGCACCAGCAGAACCAGAAGAAGACACCAGCUUGUCCAGCAGCUCUAUGAUUUAGUCUCUUCUAUUUCAUCUGAGCUGCUGCAUGCUUGAAGAAGCCUUCUAGCUUUCCUACAGGUAUCUGCACAAAACGCUGUCUCCAUAUACGGUACGAUAAUUUAAGUUUGAAAUAAAAAAAAUUGUUUUUGCUCAGUAGAAACACGAUAGAACAACAAAGUCAGAAAAAUGUGUGAUUGUUUAAUUUAUACACAUGUACAACUGCAGGACAUUAGUUGAAUAAAUAUCUUAUAUAACAUCACAUUCCCUCCCCCCCUACUGCUCCAUCAUGGUAGUUAAAAAUACUUUUCAAAUGUUGACACAGAAACUUUAACAAUCUUCCACUCAGCAACUUAGAAAUACUUUUUAAAAUAUUUGUAGUUUUUUUAUUUUUGAAGAACUUUAAAAUAAAUCAGAAACUGCAACUUUAUAUACUAUAUUACUAAUC